AUGACCAUUGUGAAUCGGCCUUUGUUUAUCGACGAAACCAAGGAAACAAAUUUCAGAUUCAGUGUUCCUCAGCCUCACCUCCGUCAAGAUCCUGGACCCAAGAAUCGUUUGUUACAGUAUCUACUUCUUACACUGUGGGCUUUCUGCCAACAUUGCUACGCUAUCCUUCACUCUGUGGUUACAGUAGUACUCUCUGAAUUGUGACAAUGGGAAGUUUUCUUCUGGACCUGCCUGCACACUGUAGGAUUUAGAGUGAUGGGAGAUAGAGAAGAGUCAUCAGAAAGAACGCUCCUCAUAAAACACAGACGGGGGAAUGAGAGAUGGCAAGGGUGAAGACAUUGAUUUACAUUCUGGGCUUCUGCCAGUGCGAGUUAGAAGACAUCGCUGUGCACUGGCCCAGCACUACUCCACGGUGAUAUAAUGGGAGUUAGGUGUGGUGGUGGUUCAGACAAAUCGUCAGAGUAUGGAGAUUUCAGUGCUGUAUAUCGGUCACACCACCAACGUGAUUUCCAGUCAUCUCUAACUUCUCACAUCUGUACUUGAAUCACGUACACAAAUCUACUACUGGUGGUGUCACAUCAGCUAGUGAUAUAUGGGAUGCUUAAGAAAACAGAACUCCUACUGAAGGCUCAGU
rnacentral:sRNA from 1 species